rnacentral:ncRNA from 1 species
GUAACUAUCGGCGAUGGAUGUCCGCCUGGGUGAACACUCGUCCGAACCGCCUCGUAUCGAGGCUGAUGGCUCCUGCUGCAUU